rnacentral:rRNA from 1 species
ACAGCCGUACCAUGCUGAAUAUACCGGUUCUCGUUAGAUCACCGAAGUCAAGCAUCAUUGGGCGCGGUCAGUACUUGGGUGGGUGACCACCUGGGAACACCGCGCGCCGUU